GCCCUUGUUGUCUAAUGGUUAUGACGUCAGACUUCUACUACUGAAGUGUAUCUGGAGGUUGCGGGUUCGAGUCCCGCCAGGGGUU